rnacentral:hammerhead_ribozyme from 1 species
UUGCUGAAGAGUCCCAUAAUAGGACGAAACAGCUGUCCAG